rnacentral:misc_RNA from 1 species
UCUGCUGGAGGGCCUCAAGGACAAUUGGGCUCAUUACGAAAACAAGGUCUUGGAGUUAGCCCUAUUGUUCAACAGAACCAAGAGUUCAGCAUCCAGAAUGAAGAUUUUCCAGCUUUACCAGGAUACAAAGGUGGUAAUGCUGAUUUCACUAUGGAUUUGCACCAGAAAGAACAACUGCAUGACAAUACCAUGUCAAUGAUACAAUCUCAGCACUUCCCUAUGGGCAGGUCUGCUGGAUUCAAUUUGGGGGGAACUUAUUCAUCUUAUCGUCCGCAACAGCAGCAACAUGCUCCAGCUGUCAGUGGUAGUGGUGUCUCCUUUUCACCUGUAAACAAUCAAGAUCUUCUUCAUGGUUCAGAUAUAUUUCCAUCUUCACAUUCGACCUAUCACUCACAGACCAACGGACCACCUGGGAUUGGACUGAGACCUCUGAACUCACCAAAUACAGUUUCUGGUAUUGGACCAUAUGACCAGCUCAUCCAGCAGUAUCAGCAACACCAAAACCAGUCCCAAUUUCGAUUACAACAAAUAUCAGCUGUCAAUCAGCCAUUUAGGGAUCAGGGCAUGAAAUCUGUGCAAGCAGCGCAAUCUGCACCUGACCCGUUUGGGUUACUUGGUUUGUUAAGUGUUAUAAGGAUGAGCGACCCUGAUCUGACCUCACUGGCUCUUGGAAUUGAUUUAACCACUCUUGGACUAAAUUUGAAUAAUUCCACGGAAAAUCUUCAUAAGACAUUUGGCUCUCCAUGGUCUGAUGAGCCAGCUAAGGGUGACCCAGAGUUUAGUGUGCCGCAAUGCUAUUAUGCUAAACAACCUCCUGCUCUACACCAAGGAUACUUUUCAAAAUUCACAGUGGAAACGUUGUUUUAUAUAUUUUAUAGCAUGCCAAAGGAUGAAGCUCAAUUAUAUGCUGCAAAUGAACUUUAUAACAGAGGCUGGGUUUAUCACAAAGAGCACCGG